ensembl:lncRNA
CCAAAAUUUCACGAGACUGUAAAGAUGAUUCAUGUAGGAAGUGUCUUCACACACACACACACACACACACACACACACACACACACACACACACACACACACACACACACACACACACACACACACACACACACACACACACACAAACGGAGGAAAACCACCACAUUUACAGUGAUAAAGAACACUUAAAAGGUUCCACUGGGUCACUGGUUCUUCAUGUGAUCCCACCAUGAGCUCCUGUCUGACCAUCCUCCAUGUGUCCGUCUGGGCCGUGCUCAUCCUCACUUCAGAUGCUGACAAUAACACUGACGCCACUGCCUGCAGCUGGGAGACGCUGAAACCAGUGAUCCUUCCCCACGUGCACCGCGUGACCGGCCUCAUGGUGUUUGUCAUCGUCCUCAUCGCCGUGUGUGUGACGCCAAAGCGGGUCUGGAAAGCUUUCCACUGUGGACGAGGAUCCAGGAAAGCAACAAACCCAAACCCCCAAACUGCUCAAUAUGAAUCAUUCAACAUUCCUAUUUAUGAGAAUGUGUUAGUACCCUGCUGAGGUAAAUGCUGUUAUUUUAAGGCUUUGAUUCAUGUUCAUAUUUAUACAUCACACUGACUUUUGUUUGUGUUUGUCUUGUGAAGAAAACUUGACAUUUUGUGUAUUUGAAUUCCUGUAACUGGUGCCUUAAUAAGACAGAAGUGAAAUUUUGUACAUAUGAAACCACCGCUGAGGCCAAGUGUGAAUCUGUGAGCGUGUGUGCAGCGUCACACAUCUAUAGGUAAAUGGUUUUGCUUCCUGUACAGGUAUCAAUCGUGGUGCACACAUCCGGUGCAAACGCCUCUUGGACACGUGAUCCUCUGAUGUAUCGUGUUUGUGUUUUCACUGCUCUGUUGGUUGGGGUGAAGCGGCUCUCGCUCUCUGGCGUGACGUUUUGGGAACAGACCAGCCGUUAAGUAAUGAACAGGAAGCACCAUCAGACCGCAAGUCACGUAACCAUGGUGUAAACACAGAAAUGGAAGUUGGUUACAGUAGAAAUGGAAAUCAUGAACUUUAUGACCCAAACGCAGGACGUAUAGGUUUUAUUCAGUGUCGGUAACAAACAGGAUUGAAGAUCUAUUCUAUUAACACGUAUUAUUAAAUAUGAAUGUGUGAUAAUGGAUCAGAUUGUUACUGCUGAACAGACUGUUUAUCUCUCCACUGCUUUGCUCGGUUACACACUAGCUGCUGCAGCCACGCCUGGAUCAGGUGUGUUCACUCAACUAGAUGAUGGAGGACACCAGUUCGCUCAGCGUUUAUUCAGAACCUUGUCCUCAUCAGGGUCGAGGGGGGGUGGAGCCGUCCCAGCAGCCACUGGGGCCGGAGGCCGAGGUGAAACCCAGCAGGGCAGUGGGGCCUGAGGAUGGUGGGAAGCAUUGUUCUGUUGCUGGAGAUGAGUUUAAACUGAUGAUAUAUAUGCUAGUUUUAUAAAUAUAAUGGAAAUGCAAAACAGAGCAGACAGAUGCAUAAUCUUACAAACCUCCAUCACUGGACUCAAGUAUGGUGAAUAGGAUGAAAGGCCCGUUAGAGCUGAAUGUUGGUGAGAUUCCAGGAAGGACGUCUUGCACAUUCACUAUGAGUCACCUUUAGCUUACAGGUGUUGAAGCGCGUGUUUUCUACAGGGGAAAACCUUCUUAUUGUUUGAUUUAAGCUCAUCAUGAGACCAGCUCUCUUCCACUCUGAAUCCAGGAAAUGACGCCUUUCGGUUCAGACUGAAACGCCUGAAGCUGAACAAGAACUUCUCACCACCUUGGUUCCAAAGGUCACGUUAUUAUAAUGCGGAGCCGCUUAAAUUAUUGAAUAAAUUAUGGGAAGCAAUAGCUGUGAUACA